AACCCAUGGUGUAGAUAUCUCCUUUGAAAUUCCUUAUAUCGAACCCAAGCCUCAUAGAAGGUUUCUCUCUCUUCUUGAUGAAAUUGAAGGAUGGCAUUUCAGAGUUU